rnacentral:rRNA from 1 species
AGGUAGCGAAAUUCCUUGUCGGGCAAGUUCCGACCUGCACGAAUGGCAUAAUGAUGGCCACACUGUCUCCUCCUGAGACUCAGUGAAGUUGAAAUGUUUGUGAUGAUGCAAUCUCCCCGCGGCUAGACGGAAAGACCCCAUGAACCUUUACUGCAGCUUUGCAUUGGACUUUGAACCGAUCUGUGUAGGAUAGGUGGGAGGCAGUGAAGCUAGGACGCCAGUCUUAGCGGAGCCAACCUUGAAAUACCACCCUGAUUUGUUUGAGGUUCUAACCUAGGAGCGUAAUCCGCUUCGGGGACCGUGCAUGGUAGGCAGUUUGACUGGGGCGGUCUCCUCCUAAAGGGUAACGGAGGAGUGCGAAGGUACGCUAGGUACGGUCGGAAAUCGUGCUGAUAGUGCAAUGGCAAAAGCGUGCUUGACUGCGAGACCGACAAGUCGAGCAGAUACGAAAGUAGGUCAUAGUGAUCCGGUGGCUCUGCAUGGAAGGGCCAUCGCUCAACGGAUAAAAGGUACUCUGGGGAUAACAGGCUGAUACCGCCCAAGAGUUCAUAUCGACGGCGGUGUUUGGCACCUCGAUGUCGGCUCAUCUCAUCCUGGGGCUGUAGCCGGUCCCAAGGGUAUGGCUGUUCGCCAUUUAAAGAGGUACGUGAGCUGGGUUUAAAACGUCGUGAGACAGUUUUGUCCCUAUCUGCCGUGGGCGUUGGAAGAUUGACGGGGGCUGCUCCUAGUACGAGAGGACCGGAGUGGACUCACCUCUGGUGUACCGGUUGUCACGCCAGUGGCAUCGCCGGGUAGCUAUGUGGGGAAAGGAUAACCGCUGAAAGCAUCUAAGCGGGAAACCUGCCUGAAGAUAAGUCUUCCUGGAGGCUUUGACCUCCCUGAAGAGUCGUUCGAGACCAGGACGUUGAUAGGUUGGAUGUGCAAGCGCUGUGAGGCGUUGAGCUGACCAAUACUAAUUGCUCGUGAAGCUUGAUCCU